rnacentral:rRNA from 1 species
AGCCGAUGAAGGACGUUACUAACGACGAUAUGCUUUGGGUAGCUGUAAGUAAGCGUUAAUCCAGAGAUUUCCGAAUGGGGGAACCCAGCAUGAGUUAUGUCAUGUUAUCGACAUGUGAAUUCAUAGCAUGUCAGAAGGCAGACCCGGAGAACUGAAACAUCUUAGUACCCGGAGGAAGAGAAAGAAAAAUCGAUUCCCUGAGUAGCGGC